CCUACGGGAGGCAGCAGUGGGGGAUAUUGCACAAUGGAGGAAACUCUGAUGCAGCGAAGCCGCGUGAGGGAAGACGGUCUUCGGAUUGUAAACCUCUGUCUAUGGGGAAGAAAAUGACGGUACCCAAAGAUGAAGCUCCGGCUCACUACGUGCCAGCAGCCGCGGUAGUACGCAGGAAGCGAGCGUUGUCCGGAAUUACUGGGUGUAAAGCGAGCGUAGGCGGGCGAGAAAGUUGAAUGUUAAAUCUACCGGCUUAACUGGUAGCUGCGUUCAAAACUUCUUGGCUUGAGUGAACUAGAGGGAUGCGGAAUUCCUAGUGGAGCGGUGAAAUGCGUAGAUAUUAGGAGGAACACCAGUGGCGAAGGCGGCCUGCUGGGCUUUAACUGACGCUGAGGCUCGAAAGCGUGGGGAGCGAACAGGAUUAGAUACCCGAGUAGUC
rnacentral:rRNA from 1 species